GAGUCAUUGGGACUCUGAUAAACCUAAAGGCGCAAUGAAAGUAAAGGUCAGCCUCGCGCAGACCGAGGGAGGAUGGGCCCGUUUACGGGCGGGCCUCGCACUCCCGGGGCGUCUCGUUCUCAUCGCGAGAGGAGGCGCACCCAGAGCGUAUACGCUGGGACCCGAAAGAUGGUGAACUAUGCCUGGUCAGGACGAAGUCAGGGGAAACCCUGAUGGAGGUCCGUAGCGAUUCUGACGUGCAAAUCGAUCGUCGGAACUGGGUAUAGGGGCGAAAGACUAAUCGAACCUUCUAGUAGCUGGUUCCCUCCGAAGUUUCCCUCAGGAUAGCUGGCGCUCGCCUUUGCGAGUCUCAUUCGGUAAAGCGAAUGAUUAGAGGCAUUGGGGUCGAAACGGCCUCAACCUAUUCUCAAACUUUAAAUGGGUGAGAUCUCCGGCUUGCUUAAAGCAUGAAGCCGCGAGAUAUCGGAUCAGAGUGCCAAGUGGGCCACUUUUGGUAAGCAGAACUGGCGCUGUGGGAUGAACCAAACGCAGAGUUAAAGCGCCAAAAUCGACGCUUAUGGGAUACCAUGAAAGGCGUUGGUAA
rnacentral:rRNA from 2 species